rnacentral:rRNA from 1 species
AGCGCACUUCUCGCUUGCGACCCCGAUAGGUCCAGUAGUGAAAUGACACGGCUUCCCUCUCUAUUUUUUUAAUUUUCUCUAGCUAGUGUCAGAGUCUAUCCGUCGAGGGAGGUAGGGGAAAGAGGAGGACGAGAGGGCUGAGGGAGAGAGAGGUGUUUAGCGGCGGCGGCGGUGGCGGCGGCGGUGCAGGCAAGGAGGACCCGUGCCGGUUGAGGCUGCGGCGGUAGUUGUCCUUCCUCUACUCCAGCACCCCCUCCUUCCUCUUCUCCCGUACUUUAAGUACCCCCUCCUUCUUCUCCUCCGGUACCUCCAGCACCCUCUCUCCCGUCCUCCGGUGCCCCCUCCUUCUUCUACGGGGGAACAAAGACUUCAACCAGAAGCGGAGUUUACGCUACCAACGAGGGUUAACACUAACCUGUAAGGACAAGUAACCAACGAUGAGUAUACUCUAAAAAAAAGUAAAAGGGACGUCUAACCAGGCUAAACUCGCCUAAGAGAAGGAGAACCAGCCAGGGGACCUACACGGAGGGAACUAGAGACGGACGUGUAAGAAAUAUUCGUGGGAGGACGCAGAGGCAAGUACCUAGCUGUCCAUGACCUCUAUAUAUUUGUCCUGUUUCAUAUGUUCAAUCAUUACCCGUGAAGUCUACACUACGGUACACUCCUUCGGAACCAUACUAUGUUAUUCUCUACCAUUAAACUCCCUCCAGUCUUAGGUUUAAACAUCGAUGGAUGGGUCCAAUGAUUUAAGUCAUAUGAUAUUUUUAAUACACGACGACAUCAUAAAUAGAUGUUAGCUCAUACCAACAGCCAGACAAAAAGUCUAAUGACGAUCGAAGUCAACAUAAAGGACCUACAAGGGUUUUUGUAUACACCUCUUGAGAGAAGGUCCGCUAACCUACAGUGAAUUGAUACGAAAGACGAUAAAAAAUGUCAUAACGAUUACGGUUUGACAACAGUAAUGAAUGACCACUUUAAAUUUUCGAUAUAUAAACGUACAUAUACGCCCAUAAAUUAAAUUGUACUAGACUUAUAAGACUUAGACGUCAAGGUGUGAUACGAAACGACCUGAUGGGUAAAUACAAAGGGAAUCCAUAAGGUUUGAAUCAGGCUAGUGUACCCGCUACCGACUAACUACCGGAGACGAACCAUGAUGUGCUAUUCAACCUUGAUGACUACGAGGUUAACGUCGGUCCAUAAUCGAUGAGAACGGAUGUAAAUAAGUCACGUGAUUACAAAGAUUCCUUUUAUCCCUGGAAAUAACCAAUUGAUAUUACAAGUAAUGUUAGGUUUCUUUCUCUGCGUUUUGAUAGCGAUCGUUUUACUGCGCACUAAACAAAAUAGGCGGUACUCUAAAAAUAUACUAUUAAGAACUUUGACUCAACUCAUCAAACAGGAUAAGUAUCGCCCCGUCCCAAGUUUAGAGUUCGUACAAAAAAAUAAACGUUACUUUAGACAAACUCACGUGAAAAAUAUGUAAGGUCGAAGUUUAAUGUAGACGAGAUAUUCUUACGUAAAAAAAGCAUGAAGUUUAAGAUCGAAGUGUAAUACGUCAAGAAAACGUACUACGUUUGUAACUCCCAUAAUAACUGUGUAUGUGGUUACGGUCAUUUUUAAUAGUCUGUACUCCCCUAUAAACUGUAAUGACAAGAAACUAAGCACGGAGAGCCGGUUUCCCCUACUCUACCCAACACGUAUCUGAGCACAAAAUGUUAAAAGAAAUGUAGGCAAGUAAUGUACCUCUAGAUCUUUAAACCAAACACACAUCUUAACGACAAAAUUUUAGAAACUAAGCACUGAGAGCCUGUUUAAAACAACUACAAAACAAUAUUUAAACACAAGGAGACUAAACAGAGGGCAAAGGACGUUAAGCCAAGGAUGUGUUAGUCAACGUAAGAAUAAUACUUUAAUUACACAACAUCAAAUAGUUAUGGUGGACUUAAUCUGGUAGACUAAGUUCUAUCAUCGUAUGAUCUUCUUUUCAUGAAAGACCCCUAGAUCUUUACAAAGUGACCUAAUACUGAACUGGUCUCUAAGUCCCAUGUUUGUGUUUAACUUCUCUAAAAAGUUCUUGAACUAAUACAAAUGGUUGAGUUCCUACCACUAAUAUACCGAUAAAGAUAUUACAGCGCGUCAAGUCGCAAGGAGACCAGCGGGCGAAAUACGGUAACUACAAAAGGAAAAGAUAUAGAUCUUGACGACAAAGUUAACCCAAACAGUUCCAAACUGUACGAACACCACCAAUUAUAGAUCUUAACAAAGUACUUGAUUAUAAUAAAAAUAGGUUUGAAAUUCGGAAAAGAAUUAGGAGUACAUUUUUCUACCGGUGCAGUCGCCGCGAUACGCCGUUGGUAUAGGCGUUCUUGGCGUGGGCAGCGUCCAUCCUUGCGCGAUGACGUGGAGCUCAGUGUGAUUUGCCCCCACGUUGGGUAGUACAUAUCGAAGUUGAGAUAAGAGUACCUGUGAAGAUAGUAUUGUAAGUCUAUGUGAAAAGUCCGUAAUGUUCCAGUAUAAACGAGAAACAUCAAGCUAGUAAUCAAAGUAAAUCAGAUACUAAAUAGAGUAACCGAAAACCUAAUCAGGUCUCAUAUGAGGAGGAAGGGAUUUAUAUUCAGAAAAAUCUAUAAAAUUAUUCCUGAUGUGUACCUACAUAUAUCUGUAUAACAGUUUACAUCUAAGUGAGUAAAACGACGCAUACAUCAGGGGUAAACCUUAGAGUCUUUUCUGAAUAUAAAGCCUUACCUCCCUCAUAAUAAAAUCAAACCAGUAACUAAUUCUAAAAGCGAAGUCAUAAUUAAUGUACUUACCGAUCGAGAGACGUAGCACACAGCAUGAGAACGUCAAAGUUUUAGAAACUGAGUACCGAGGGCCGGUUUCCCCUAGUCUACUCAACAUGUACAGAUUAUAAAGUCUUCUUCAGAACGGUAGUUAAUUCACGAAGAGAAACAGAAGUAUCAUAAAAGUCCAUCUCAUGUGUCUCCCGUCUUCAUGUAACUGCCUUUACUACUGUGGGAAGGUGACUUCAACUGCCUUUACUACUGUGGGAAGGUGACUUCGAGCGUCUGCCGUGGCACUUGACGCUGUUAGCGAAGUACAAACUUUGGCCGUUCUCCCGGUGGUAGUGCUGCCUAACUAGUACCAAAGCAGUGGUACGAUUGUAGGUCCUCCCGCUGUAGACGCGGAAGGUAAAGUUCGCGUUCCUUUCCGUAUUCCAGUAGUGUAGCAGAGAGGGAGUGGCAGGUAGCGUAGCAGAGAUCCGUAUUCCAGUAGUCGUCCUAAGCAGAAAUCGAAUAGAGUUACGACACGAGAUAGUAAGUGGAACAUUCUGAGACGGGAUAGAAUAUUAUACGUGGAUGAUGGAGAAUAUACAUACUACUAGCUUGUGAAAAGAGGAUUCGAACACAAUUAACAUAAGUAUAAAAUUGUUAACUCCGUGAGAUUUUGCGU